CCUACGGGGGGCAGCAGUGGGGAAUAUUGGACAAUGGGGGGAACCCUGAUCCAGCCAUGCCGCGUGUGUGAAGAAGGCCCUCGGGUUGUAAAGCACUUUCAGUGAGGAAGAACGCCUGGUGGUUAAUACCCAUCAGGAAAGACAUCACUCACAGAAGAAGCACCGGCUAACUCCGUGCCAGCAGCCGCGGUAAUACGGAGGGUGCGAGCGUUAAUCGGAAUUACUGGGCGUAAAGCGCGCGUAGGUGGCUUGAUAAGCCGGUUGUGAAAGCCCCGGGAUCAACCUGGGAACGGCAUCCGGAACUGUCAAGCUAGAGUGAAGGAGAGGAAGGUAGAAUUCCCGGUGUAGCGGUGAAAUGCGUAGAGAUCGGGAGGAAUACCAGUGGCGAAGGCGGCCUUCUGGACUGACACUGACACUGAGGUGCGAAAGCGUGGGUAGCAAACAGGAUUAGAUACCCCGGUAGUC
rnacentral:rRNA from 1 species